GGUAAGAUGGCUGAGAAUAAGUGGCGGAUUGUAAUCCCGUAAACGGAGGUUAGAAUCCUUCUCUUAUCA
rnacentral:tRNA from 1 species